AGUGAACGCUGGCGGUAGGCCUAACACAUGCAAGUCGAACGGCAGCACAGGAGAGCUUGCUCUCUGGGUGGCGAGUGGCGGACGGGUGAGGAAUGCAUCGGAAUCUACUCUGUCGUGGGGGAUAACGUAGGGAAACUUACGCUAAUACCGCAUACGACCUACGGGUGAAAGUGGGGGACCGCAAGGCCUCACGCGAUUGAAUGAGCCGAUGUCGGAUUAGCUAGUUGGCGGGGUAAAGGCCCACCAAGGCGACGAUCCGUAGCUGGUCUGAGAGGAUGAUCAGCCACACUGGAACUGAGACACGGUCCAGACUCCUACGGGAGGCAGCAGUGGGGAAUAUUGGACAAUGGGCGCAAGCCUGAUCCAGCCAUACCGCGUGAGUGAAGAAGGCCCUCGGGUUGUAAAGCUCUUUUGUUGGGAAAGAAUCCUACUGGUUAAUACCUGGUGGGGAUGACGGUACCCAAAGAAUAAGCACCGGCUAACUUCGUGCCAGCAGACCCG
rnacentral:rRNA from 1 species